GAUACCUCGUCUGGUGGUUCGUUUAACAGUGGCGCUUGCUUUGCCACUUCAUCGUGUGCUUUGCACUUCCCAUUAUCUCGGGGUGUCACUUGUCAAAGGUGGGGAGGGGGGAGGACGUACGGAAAGGUGACAGUGACACUGAUGGUUUUUCUAAGGACCUUAUGUUUUUUUUUUAAGUACAGCACAAAAUAACGUUCAUUUUCCGUUACGUCUUCCACUUCCGCAGGUGUCCGCUCCCAGUCCCAGAGGCUGCCAUGAAAAAGGUGACACACGAGGAGUCAAAAAUUUCGGGGGACUGAGCGGGGAAAACCCAAGAGCCUGCAAACCGUCUUCUCGCUCGAGCCCUGAUCACGAACCGACCGCCGGUCUGCAAUUGAUCAGAAAGAAGGCUGGAACAAACUUGGAGAGGCUUUGCCGAAAUUAGUAAGACUUGCAAACAGGCACGGGCCUGAAAGGCACGUCGAACGAUUGUAAGGGCUUUCCGAUAUUUCGUGGCGGCUUCAGAUGCUGUCUCGUCGUGCGUUCGAGAGAAAAAGUGCUGUAUUAAUUUUUCAAAGGAGGGUUAAGAAAGAAGGAAAGAUCGUUGCCCUGGAUGAGAACCCUCUUAAUUUUGGCGCCUUCUUAGACGCGGGCAGAGUGCGCCAAGGACCGGGGAAGUCUCCUUAAGUGGGUCCAGCGGGAAACGAGAGAAUCCUGACCUUAAGGACCUACAUUUCGUUGGUGGUCAAUGUAACGUUUUUACUUUGCCGGGUCUUGUGAGAAAUAAUUGCCUCAAGGGAGGCCGAAGACCGCCCCACAAGCGACCUGGAGGGUCGCGGGUUUCCGGGUCCAAUCGGCAGAGACCCGGUCCUCAAAGCGAAGGCAGAUCCCCGCCAACCGCGGUCUCCAGAUCCACAAAGCGGUGGAGAUCUCCGACAGCAGCCGGUGCGGGGGAGAGAGGGAGGGGGCACAUGACUGAAGGCAAUUCCUGGGGUGGCUGGUUUCCACACACACACACACACACUAUUUCAUUUAUCUCUCCGCCACCCCUGCCAUCGUUCUAGUUGGGGCUCCCCUCCUUUGCUCGCUUCGGGACCUGGCUUGCCUUUACUCCCUGUUCAUCAACGGGCCGACCCGCAAGCCGAAGCAGCCGCAGUCCCCGGGACGAGGAGCGGCGAAUGGGGCCAGCGCGGGGCGGGCAGAGGCGACCCCAUCGCCGGCUUGCCUUCCCUCCCCACUCGCGCGUGGUGUGCCAGGCUCUCAGCGGCCCGCGGGGCGACAGGGCGCAGGUCCCUUGGAGCUGUCCGGAAGGAUCCGGAGCUAAUUGAACUUGACGAGGAGCGCGGAAAGCGCCCCUGGCCCAGCCAGCCUUACAGCGGCAGCCUCCGCAGGCCGGCCGGCAGGCGCACGAGGUCCGGCGGGCGAGCGGUGGAGGGAGAAGGGCGGAGGCUUGGGCCCCGGGGGAAAGGGCCCGAGGGGGGGAAUCUACCGGAGGGACCCCGUCGACAAUGCAUCGGGAUCGUUCUACAUGCCAAAAUCCUUAUUAAACGCCCCGGAGUGAGCAGGGCGAAGAAAUAGGUCGUAACUCGCCUUGUUGGGUCUGAAAGAAUUGUGCUAAGCCGCCAGGUUGCGUACAUACGCUAUUUUUAUUAUGGCGGUAUUGAUAGCGUUAUGAUUGUUAAUCAGCGCGGUUAUUAUCUGGUAUCAGCAUUAAGACUGGCGAUUUUCUGCCCAUCGUCCAAAAAGCCUUUGGAUCAGACCGCAUCAUGAUCAAGCUUCUAAAAUACUUCAGAAAUGUGUAAUGAUAUAAGAAAUAACGACGGCGGAUAAUUGUUAUUUCUAUUAAGCAGAUGUAUUGGAGUUCCUCCAUUACAGUAUUUCUUUCGUACUCGGGGGCCCUUGCGCUCCUGUUGCAAAGAAAUUCAUUUUGAAGUUCAGUCCUGUUUACGCCCAUGUGACGAAACUAAGCACAGUCGUUAAUAGAUUACUAGAUCCUCCCGCUUUCUCUUUAUUAUCCGAUUGUCUUUAUUAGGAUGCGUAUUGCUGCCUGUGCCAGGAUCGCCAUCAGACU